GAGACAAAAUUGACUUUUGUGAGACAAAAUUCAAUUUUGUCAAUUUUGUCUAACAAAAGUCAAUUUUGUCUCACAAAAGUCAAUUUUGUCUCACAACAGUC
rnacentral:sRNA from 1 species